UUAAGGUUCCUUCCAACUCAACACAUUCCAUCACAUUUCUCUGUAUCUCAGUAACCAGAAACCCUUCUGCGCCAGUUUCAGUUCUCCCACCCACAGGGGCUGCUCAGCACCUGGGAGCUUCAGGAGCUGCAGGGCAGAGCAGAGGCCCAGCAGUGAGCCUCAGGGCUUGGGGCAGAACAGGAGCUUCCUCUCAGGGACGUCUGCCCCCAUCCCGUGUAACUGCAGCUCUGUUGGUGAAAACAGGAUGUUUCUGACUGCACCCCCAGCACUUCCAGAGGAGCAGCGUGGGGCUGGGUGCUUUGGAGAUGUGAGGAUGGAGCCCUGUUCCCCUCCAUGGGCUGCAUGGGCUGUGGAUCCAAGCCUUCAGCUCCAUCCCUCAGGCCCAGCAGCCCCCAGGUACUGCAGGCAGAGCUGCACUCCCAGCCCUCCCUUCUCACACGCAACAUGAACAUUAAUGCAUCUCUAAAGUGCAUAAUGCAUCAGCUUUAUUCCAGCUGAUAAAUAAAGGCACAGUUCUUAGA